UACGUAGGGACCAAGCGUUGUUCGGAUUUACUGGGCGUAAAGGGCGCGUAGGCGGCGUGUUAAGUCAGCUGUGAAAUCUCCAAGCUUAACUUGGAACGGUCAGCUGAUACUGAUGUGCUAGAGUGCAGAAGGGGCAAUCGGAAUUCUUGGUGUAGCGGUGAAAUGCGUAGAUAUCAGGAAGAACACCUAUGGCGAAGGCAGCUCUCUGGGACGGUACUGACGCUGAGACGCGAAAGCGUGGGGAGCGAACAGG
rnacentral:rRNA from 1 species